UGGGCUAACCUCUGUAAGAAAGC
rnacentral:piRNA from 1 species